rnacentral:lncRNA from 1 species
GUCCUAGAGACUAUAUAUCAUGGGUACAAGAAUUUUUUUUUACGAAGAAUCAUAUAAAAAGUGGCAAUCACUGGGAAGUAGAAUGAGUUUCGUAUUCGAAAACCUUUCACCAUAAAAUCCGGGUGGUGCUUCCCAAACUAUUAAGGAUUCCAAUAGAUAUACUAAAGAGGAAGGAGAGUGAACAUGAAGCAAACUUUAAAAGGAAGAAGUGAAAAGAGGACAAAAGAGAGUUUAACAGUAGAAAGCUAAAAAGGAAACAGAGAUGGCCACUUUCAUCUCCAAGUUUCUAAAGUACACAGAAACAUCAAACAUACCUGAAUAAUUUCACUUGGUCCACUCUCUCCUUCUCUCUCUCUCUCUCUCUUGUCAUUGAGCAUCCUUUUCAAUUUCAUUGUCACUUGUUGUCAUCUUCAUACACUCCGUGAAUAUUACAACAAGUUGUCGUUUCAUCCAAACAAAUAAAACCGGUCCCAGUUUCAGAAGAUCUUUUGAACUGCCAAGCUUUCUUUUGUCUUGUUCCCCCCUCCAAGUCCUUUUUUUCCUCAUACAAAAGAGUCUAUAAAGUCUCCAUUAGUUUACAACUAGUGAAUACUACUGUACAUAUUCAAUGUAAGAUUUGUAGGUUGGGCUAAGGAGGGUUUAGCCAUUUCCUUACACACAUAUCCGCGGCUGCAUACGCUUAUACCAUAAGAAGACGAGUUGGGGCCUAUUAGAAUC